AAAUGUAAUGAAAACGCAAAUAUAUUCAAAGAUAAAGUAGGUACUAGAUAAUAUUUGAUAUCAGAUAUCAACAAUGGAAUGUAGAGUGGGGAGUCUGCAGGCACCGACUGUUUAGUUGGUGAUUCUGCGCACUCUCAUAAACACACAGUCUGAUUAAGACUCGGCCGAUAGUUGUCUAACUUUGUAAUUGAAUCAGAAUUGGGAAGCCUACCCAACCUGUUUCUGAUUAUUCAGUCGGCCAACUGAAAUCGCUCAGAUGUGCGGACUCACAUUACGAUUCUAUACUAAUAAGCAUCCAUCUGAACUAUCGGCCAAUAAAAAGUCUGUAGUGUGCGCUUGCCCUUAGCGGUGUUUUCGCGCAGCCAAAAUAACAAAUUUCUUUCAAAAACUCAUACCUCCACAUACUCCAUACUGGAAAAAAAAGAUGUUCCGAAACUUUCCGUAAAAACCAUGUCAUAUUCUUGCGCCCACACACCAGAAACUCGGGCCAUAACUCCCAGUUCGACACAAUGAUAAUGAAGCUGACCAAAACAGGCAAAUACAUGAAGAAUAUGGUGAGUGAUGCCCAAAUUGGAUCUUUAUUUCUGUAAUGACUAAUUACCACUCCUAUAUCUCCAGCAAUCAAAAAUGUAUACAGUACACAGGCACAUAUUGAAGGCACUAAAUGAUUCACUAUGGCAUCUUGAUGAGGACUGAGCACAUAACCCAAUAAAGUCUUUUUCUUUGA